AUUAUACAAUUACAAGUAGGAGUUGUAUGGAUGUACAUAUGUAUGCUCUGGUUAUAUUUAUGCACUCAUAUUCAGUGAAUUUAUGUAUAUUUCAGUUGCCAUUCAAGGUCUGAUCGGGUUAGCCCUGAUUAAGAUCACAGCUUUGGUUGUAGUUUUUGCAUCAUUAUUAACCGGUGGGUUGCUCGUAAAACUUUUCAGCUUGGGCCUUAUUUUUGGGGCAUCGAAAUUCAACCAACCAGUUAUUCAUCUAACACGAUACAGAUCAAUUUCUGAACCAAGGUUUGACAUGGUAAAGACUUUAUUUAAAAUAAUGAUGGAAGACACAGACACGUGCAAAAAAAAGUUGAUUUGCCUGUUGCAAAAUAAAGCUAUACAAAGCCCUUUGUUGGAGUCAGCUUUUUAUUUUCUAAUGUGCUGUAGUAACAUCUGGAAAUUCAGCACUGAAGACGACAGCAUCCGAGUUGACAAUUGUAAUAAAAUUUAUUACGAGUGUGAAAACAGUUUGAUAUUGAGUGAAGAACAGACGUCAAGCUCGUUUUAAGCGAUGAAAACAAUCUCCGAUUGGAUUGAAACGACAUCCUUGUUUAUCUGUGAUUUGUACAAAUUGGUUGAUUUAGAAAUACAAUAAAACAGCAUUAUGCUUAAAGAUUUUCAAGUGUACAUAAUCGGUUUUCUUAUUAAGUGCAUAAAAAAAUUCAUAAAAUACAUUAUGUGAGCUGAUGAUGUAUUGAGUUAAAAUAAACUUUUUUUUUA